AAAAAAGGGCAUAUUGCAACAUUUGUUUUGUGGCGUUUAUGGAAACGCCAUUAUAGAUUCAUUAAACACAGCAUUUUAAAAACGUUGUCUUUGAUCUCCGUUAAACGAUGUCUUGUUGGGUCAAUUUAUUAACACCAUCCUGGACUCCGUCUCUCAUUUUCUCUGCCUCUUCCACAACCCCGAUUUGAAGCUCAAACUCUCUCUCUCUCUCUCUCUUCCAAAACCCUCGAUUUGAAGCUCAAACACACAGACUCUCUCUCUUGCUUGCUCGAUCAAUUGCAGAUUUUGCAUUGUAUGUUCUUUAUCAAUGUUGAUCGAAGCUCAACAACUCUCAAUUUGAAGCUCAAACACACAGAACUCAACCGCAGUAGUUUGCUCUAGAUGUUCUUCAUCAAUUGCAACGAUCUCUGUUCUUCAUCGAUCUCGAGGCUACUCGAGUGAAGACGGGCACCAGAUGGUCCAGACUUCGAUCUCUUUGUCUAUUACUGCAAGCACUGCAGAUCUCAUGUCCUCAUCAUUGAUCCAAAAUUCAAAAUCCAAAAUCGAUCUGUUCUAGCUGAUCUCUCUUGCUCUUAUCUCAGGUGAAAAGCUUGAACCAUUGAAUUGGGAUUUGAGGAUUCAAAUAGCUGUGGAUGUAGCAAGGGCAUUAGAAUACCUUCAUGAUGGGGUAGCUGAUUUUGGGCUUUGAUAAAGGCCAUUGAGGCAGUUCCAGAUUUGAAGACCUAUUUGGCUGCAAGGUUUUCGCUCAAGGCAUGCAUGAAUUAACCCCUAAGGUUACUUAAGAGGUUGGAUUUUCCAGAAAUGAAAUUUAGCUUGUAUUUUAUGGGCUAUGAGGUAAAGUGUUCUGCAUUACUUUUGUAAUAUUUUUUUUUCUUUCUAUUUCUAUCUUCUAAAACCAUGAGAUUCUAUUUUUUUUUUUCUGUUUCUGCCAUAUGUUCGUUGAUGUUCUUUUUAAACCUUGUUGCAAGGAUGAGAUAGUUGAUUGGUGCUCUGCCCUCUACAAAGAGGGAUGAACACUUGGAUGGAGUGGAAGACAACUGUGUAAUUGAUCCACAACAUUAGGGACAUUGUUGAUAACUUGGGAUAUUAGCUCUUUCUAGGAUGGACCUAACAUCAGCUCCCAGCAAUGCAGUUGAUCGUACUGUUUGGACAUUUAGUCAGAAGGCUACAAUUGAGCUCACACAAUAUAUUUUAUUUUGGUAUCACAUUUUUUUUUUUGUUUGAGAACGUGGAUUCUGAGAGUUUUGGGACCCACUUUGUUUGGUAAUCUUGAUCCUAUAUCUUCAAGCUUUGUAUUGUAAGCUUCACUUGCUUGUUGCAUCGGUUAACAGGUGUCUGAUUUUUUCAAACUUUCAUGAAACAAUGCUAACCUGAAAUUGCUGAAUAAUCAAUUUAUGCAAUUGCUGGCUUGCAUAGAAAUGGAGAUUGGUCUAUUCAUUAGGAGAACAUUGAUAGUGGUGUUAUUUUGUCUGUGGGUGCCCAUGAAAGUCAUGGCUAGGACUGGAAAUGCUAGUGUUUCUUCCUAAAAGCCAAAUGUAGUAAAUAUUGGAGCUCUGUACACCUUCAAUUAUGUUAUUAGACAAUCAGCAAAGCCAGCAAUUGAAGCUGCGGUUGAUGAUGUCAAUUCCGAUUCAACUGUUCUUGUUGGGAUGAACACACACAAAGAGAAGCUCAUUCAUAUAUUUAGUUUUGGCAUCUGAGCUCUGCGAGAAGUUUGACGCCAACAAACACGUGGAUUGAAGAGUAUAUUUUGUGUGGAUUGAAGAGAACUUAUAUUUUGUAUAGUAAAAAUCUCAUGAAAUGUGCAAUUAAUUUGGUUCAUAGAUGAGUUGAAUACUUUUAUGUAUUUUUCCCUAACUUUGUAUAAUGUUUUAUGAUGGGUUGAUUACAAUAUAUUGGAUGUACAAAAAUUCUGAUUAGCUUGA